GCAAAAUAGCUAGCCCAACAAAUAGGACUAAACCCCAAGAAAUUAAAACACCUUCAAAACCACCAACACACGAAACUAAAGCAUUCUCCCACCCUAGUAUGGGCGACAGAAAAGGAAAUACACGAGCUAUAGAGAAAGUACCGCAAGGGAAAGCUGAAAUAGUAAUGAAAAAAUCCGUUAAAGCACAACAAAGCAAAGACUAAAACUUGUACCUUUUGCAUCAUGAUUUAGCCAGUAGAACCAAGCAAAGAGAACUUCAGUUUGGACCCCCGAAACUGGUGUGAGCUACUUCAAGGCAGCCUAAAACAGGGCAAACCCGUCUCUGUGGCAAAAGAGUGGGAAGACCUUCAAGUAGAGGCGACAAACCUAACGAACCCAGUUAUAGCUGGUUGCCCAAGAAAUGGAUAUAAGUUCAACCCUAUUCUCCUUAAACUAUAAAUGUAAACACAACAUUAAGUACUAAGAAACAAAUAGGAGCUAGUCAAAGAAGGUACAGCUUCUUUGAAAAGGACACAACCUUAAUAGGAGGCAAAGGAUCAUAACACACCAAGGACCUGAUACUGCAGUAGGCCUAAAAGCAGCCACCAAGACAGAAAGCGUUAAAGCUCAAGCAAUAAAAAAUCCAAUUAUCCAGACAAACAAUCCAACCCCCCUAAUAACUAUUGGGCUAUUCCAUGCCCCCAUGGAAGAAAUAAUGCUAAAAUGAGUAACAAGAAGGACUAUCCUUCUCCCCGCACACGUGUAUGUUAAUCUGGACAAACCACUAACAAAUAACGAACUCAAAUAAAGAGAGAAUUAGAAAUUAAAAGAAGACCAAGAAAAACCUCUCAAAACCAACCGUUAACCCCACACAGGAGUGCACCACCGGGAAAGACAAAAAGGAAGAGAAGGAACUCGGCAAACACCAAAGCCUCGCCUGUUUACCAAAAACAUCGCCUCCUGCAAACAUAAUAUAGGAGGUCCCGCCUGCCCAGUGACUAAAAGUUUAACGGCCGCGGUAUCCUGACCGUGCAAAGGUAGCGCAAUCACUUGUCCCUUAAAUAGGGACCUGUAUGAAUGGCAUAACGAGGGCUUAACUGUCUCCUCCUCCAAGUCAGUGAAAUUGAUCUGCCCGUGAAGAAGCGGACAUAAAAAUGUAAGACGAGAAGACCCUAUGGAGCUUAAGACACAAAAUCAACCAAGUUCAACCACUUCCCAUUAAAAAGAAAAACAAAAUGACAACUGAUUAUCGUCUUCGGUUGGGGCGACCGCGGGGAAAAACAAAACCCCCAUGUAGAAUAGGAGAAAUCCUAAGCCAAGAUAAGACCCAUCUAAGCCAUAAAAUAUUUAACUAUCAAUGACCCGGCCUUCAAGCCGAUCAACGAACCAAGUUACCCUAGGGAUAACAGCGCAAUCCUCUUUUAGAGUCCAUAUCGACAAGAGGGUUUACGACCUCGAUGUUGGAUCAGGACAUCCUAAUGGUGCAGCCGCUAUUAAGGGUUCGUUUGUUCAACGAUUAAAGUCCUACGUGAUCUGAGUUCAGACCGGAGUAAUCCAGGUCAGUUUCUAUCUACAAUAGUCCUUUUUUCCAGUACGAAAGGAUCGAAAAAAGAAGGCCCAUACUAUAGGCACGCCUUAACCCCACCUGAUGAAACCAACUAAACCAGAUAAGGGGACACAAAACAACUAGCCAAGACCAAGGCUU
rnacentral:rRNA from 1 species